rnacentral:rRNA from 2 species
UCUGAUGGAGCAACGCCGCGUGAGUGAAGAAGGUCUUCGGAUCGUAAAACUCUGUUGUUAGAGAAGAACACGAGUGAGAGUAACUGUUCAUUCGAUGACGGUAUCUAACCAGCAAGUCACGGCUAACUACGUGCCAGCAGCCGCGGUAAUACGUAGGUGGCAAGCGUUGUCCGGAUUUAUUGGGCGUAAAGGGAACGCAGGCGGUCUUUUAAGUCUGAUGUGAAAGCCUUCGGCUUAACCGGAGUAGUGCAUUGGAAACUGGAAGACUUGAGUGCAGAAGAGGAGAGUGGAACUCCAUGUGUAGCGGUGAAAUGCGUAGAUAUAUGGAAGAACACCAGUGGCGAAAGCGGCUCUCUGGUCUGUAACUGACGCUGAGGUU